GGAGAGGUGGCAGAGUGGCCGAUCGCGUCACCUUGCUAAGGUGAUGUACCGGAAACGGUACCGGGGGUUCGAAUCCCCCCCUCUCCGCCA
rnacentral:tRNA from 1 species